CAACAAUGAUGAUGUUAAUUCAACAGAAUGUAUAGUGUUGAAUAAAAAUGAGCUUUUUAACUCUGAGAAGU